rnacentral:rRNA from 1 species
GACGAACGCUGGCGGCGUGCUUAACACAUGCAAGUCGAACGGAAAGGCCUGCUUUCCCUUGUGGAUUGCGGGUACUCGAGUGGCGAACGGGUGAGUAACACGUGAGUGAUCUGCCCCCAACUUGGGUAUAAGCCUGGGAAACUGGGUCUAAUUCCCGAUAGGACUGCAGGGUGGUGCAUGUGGUGGAAAACGAUUUUCUAGUGGUUGGGGAUGAGCUCGCGGCCUAUCAGCUUGUUGGUGGGGUAAUGGCCUACCAAGGCGGCGACGGGUAGACGGCAUGAGAGGGUGGACGGCCACAUUGGGACUGAGAUACGGCCUAGACUACUACGGGAUGCAGCAGUGGGGAAUAUUGCACAAUGGGCGGAAGCCUGAUGCAGCGACGCCGCGUGGGGGAUGACGGCCUUCGGGUUGUAAACUCCUUUCGACCGCGAUGAAGCCACCUGGUUGGAAGUGUGGGGACGGGAGUGGUAGAAGAAGCACCGGCUAACUACG